rnacentral:rRNA from 1 species
GACGAACGCUGGCGGCGUGCUUAACACAUGCAAGUCGAGCGGAGCGGCGAACGGGUGAGUAACGCGAGAGUAACUGCCCCCCUCUCUGGGGUAACAGUUGGAAAAGGCUGCUAAUACCGGAUAGUGGGGGAUGACUCGAGUGCUAUCAGCUUGUUGGUGGGGUAGUGGCCUACCAAGGGGACGACGGGUAGCCGGCCUGGGAGGGCGACCGGCCAAAUUGGGCUGAGAUACGGCCCAAACUCCUACGGGAGGCAGCAGUGGGGAAUAUGGCGAAAUGGGGGAAACCCUGUUGCAGCAACGCCGCGUGCGGGAUGACGGCCUUCGGGUUAUAAACCGCUUUCAGCCAUGACGCGGUAGUGGCAGAAGAAGCACCGGCUAACUACGUGCCAGCAGCCGCGGUAAUUC